ncrna:Pseudomonas aeruginosa TCBPP-PA14 Fluoride riboswitch
UUGCCGACAGGAGAUGGCAUUCCUCCUUCAACCGCCCCUGGGGCUGAUGAUGCCUACGCAUGA